rnacentral:rRNA from 1 species
UGGCGAACGGGUGAGUAACACGUGGAUAACCUGCCUCAAGGCUGGGGAUAACAUUUGGAAACAGAUGCUAAUACCGAAUAAAACUUAGUAUCGCAUGAUAUAAAGUUAAAAGGCGCUACGGCGUCACCUAGAGAUGGAUCCGCGGUGCAUUAGUUAGUUGGUGGGGUAAAGGCUUACCAAGACAAUGAUGCAUAGCCGAGUUGAGAGACUGAUCGGCCACAUUGGGACUGAGACACGGCCCAAACUCCUACGGGAGGCUGCAGUAGGGAAUCUUCCACAAUGGGCGCAAGCCUGAUGGAGCAACGCCGCGUGUGUGAUGAAGGCUUUCGGGUCGUAAAGCACUGUUGUAUGGGAAGAAAUGCUAAAAUAGGGAAUGAUUUUAGUUUGACGGUACCAUACCAGAAAGGGACGGCUAAAUACGUGCCAGCAGCCGCGGUAAUACGUAUGUCCCGAGCGUUAUCCGGAUUUAUUGGGCGUAAAGCGAGCGCAGACGGUUGAUUAAGUCUGAUGUGAAAGCCCGGAGCUCAACUCCGGAAUGGCAUUGGAAACUGGUUAACUUGAGUGUUGUAGAGGUAAGUGGAACUCCAUGUGUAGCGGUGGAAUGCGUAGAUAUAUGGAAGAACACCAGUGGCGAAGGCGGCUUACUGGACAACAACUGACGUUGAGGCUCGAAAGUGUGGGUAGCAAACAGGAUUAGAUACCCUGGUAGUCCACACCGUAAACGAUGAAUACUAGGUGUUAGGAGGUUUCCGCCUCUUAGUGCCGAAGCUAACGCAUUAAGUAUUCCGCCUGGGGAGUACGACCGCAAGGUUGAAACUCAAAGGAAUUGACGGGGACCCGCACAAGCGGUGGAGCAUGUGGUUUAAUUCGAAGCAACGCGAAGAACCUUACCAGGUCUUGACAUCCUUUGAAGCUUUUAGAGAUAGAAGUGUUCUCUUCGGAGACAAAGUGACAGGUGGUGCAUGGUCGUCGUCAGCUCGUGUCGUGAGAUGUUGGGUUAAGUCCCGCAACGAGCGCAACCCUUAUUGUUAGUUGCCAGCAUUCAGUUGGGCACUCUAGCGAGACUGCCGGUGACAAACCGGAGGAAGGCGGGGACGACGUCAGAUCAUCAUGCCCCUUAUGACCUGGGCUACACACGUGCUACAAUGGCGUAUACAACGAGUUGCCAACCUGCGAAGGUGAGCUAAUCUCUUAAAGUACGUCUCAGUUCGGACUGCAGUCUGCAACUCGACUGCACGAAGUCGGAAUCGCUAGUAAUCGCGGAUCAGCACGCCGCGGUGAAUACGUUCCCGGGUCUUGUACACACCGCCCGUCACACCAUGG